GGAAUCAAGAGACAACAACAGUACGACACACAAUUCCGUCGUUUUAUUUCAUCCAAAACGACCACGUUUCCAACCAUCGUUUCACUUUUACAUUUCUUUGCUCAAAUAAUUAUAAUUUGAAUUUAGAAUUAAGAUUUAGAACACAAGAGAAUAAAUUGAAGAUAUAAUCAUCAACCAUAGAUGAUAAGAACAUAACCAGGAACAAAUUUUCAAGUUGUGGCUUUUGAGGUGACAGAUGUUGCUUGGAGAUUCGAAGCCUGAAGUUGAACCAAUGGAUUGUACAGCUGCUCGAAAGACACAGAAGGCUGAUCGAGAAAAGUUAAGGAGGGAUCGUCUAAAUGAACAGUUUGUAGAACUGGGUAACAUUUUAGACCCUGAUAGGCCCAAAAAUGAUAAAGCAACCAUUCUAGGUGAUACAGUUCAAUUGCUGAAGGACCUUACUUCUCAAGUUAGUAAACUAAAAGAUGAGCACACUAUGCUAAAUGAAGAAUCUCGAGAGUUGACUCAGGAGAAAAAUGAUCUCAGAGAAGAAAAGGCUUCUCUUAAAUCAGAUAUCGAGAAUUUGAAUAACCAGUAUCAGCUGCAACUCAGAACUAUGUUUCCAUGGACUGCAAUGGAUCAUUCAGUUAUGAUGGCUCCACCGUCAUAUCCGUAUCCAGUUCCAAUGCCGGUACCUCCUGGACCAAUUCCCAUGCAGCCGUACCCCUUCUACGCUAAUCAACAUCCUGCAGUCAUCCCUAACCCCUGUUCAACAUACGUUCCAUUUUUAGCCCCUAAUACAAUCGUUGAACAGCAAUCCACCCAAUACGUAUCCCCACCUCUUCAUCCAGGUAGCCGGUCCCAUGUAUCAGGAAAACAAGAUUCUAAAAACAAAUCAUCCAGGGAGAGCAGGGCUGAAAGAAAUGAGGAAUCUAAUGAUGUAGCCACGGACCUUGAGUUGAAGACUCCCGGGUCUUCUGCAGACCAGGAUUUAUCGUCCGCACAAAAGAAAUCGAGCAAGUCAUCGAGAAAGGAAAGCAGUUUCACAGAAGGUAGUUCGUUAGGCAAGUGUUCUUCAUCGUACAGCGUUCAGGAUAGCUCAUCAAGUAGUGUAGUUGGGAGCAGAAAGGCUAGUGAAUGAGAGAACAUAAUUUUAGGCAAGUGUUUGUGCCUUUUGAAGCUACUAUGAGUGUUUUCAUUGUGCUUCUGCUGCAACUAAUCUGGAGGUAUACGUCACUUCUAUGCUUAUCCUGAAAAGAAAGUUGCUUCUGUUCUCUCAUCCUGACUAGUAGUUUAUUCUGAGUACUGUAUAAUUUGAUCAUAAACUUUUCCUUGUGAGGAAAAGCUUUGCAGGUUCAAUUGUUUAUAUUCCUAUUUCUUGUGAAAAAUUGAAAUUGAAGAUGGAAAAUCUCCAAGCUGAAACCAGUAAGGCUAACAUGAAUAAGAACAUCAGCCAGACCUAAAAUAUGAUAAAAGAAGGGAAGACAAUAAGAAAAAGUGCACCUAUCAAAUAUAAUAUGGCCCAAUUUAAAUUUGGUAUUUUGGUCUAUUUAAAAUAGAGUACUCAAACAAAUUGAAAAAAUUAUAGUACAAUUCCAAACAUUAUGGUCACCAAAUAUUAAAUUUAAAAUUUGUUUUCAAGUUACUUGAAUUUAAAGUGUGUUGAAUAAGGCCAAUGUUAAUAGUUUUUGUUCUCAUUCAUCUCAAUCAAGAAAAUUCUAUUGUACUCGUCCAAAAAAAAGAGAAAAGAAACACCAGUACCCGACUCUUGCAGGUUGUACACAGCAAAAUAUGUUUAUAGGACAUAAGUUACACUCAAAGAAUAUAUGCCAAAACUCAAAGCCAUCCUUGUAUCAGAAGCAAAAGAAGCUCUUAUAUAAACCUUAGAGAACAACCUAGUUCUAGUGUCUGUUUCUUCAUGUGUCACUGACUGAGAAAACAUGGGGUGGUUAUUCUCCAAGAAGAGGAAUGCAGAAUGGAAGCAUGGAUACAUGGAGCAGAACAUGGAAACUGUUUCUCCUUCCCCAACUCUUCAUUUGUUUGUGGUAUUUGGCAUUGUUAUUAGCUUGUUAUGGCUCUCCCAUUACACUGGCUACAAAGCUUAGCAACAUAACAUACCCAAUCUACUUUCACUUAGUACUUUUGUUGAUUCUCUUCUUUGUUUCAUACUCUACUUGUGGAUGGUUCAACUUUCGCUUCACACAUUCGAAGCACGAGUUGCGACAACUAGCUAUGGUGUCUCACUGUCUCCCUCUAUCUUUGCCAUCUUGCUGAUGCGGCUACUGCUACUGCUAUGGCUUUCUUAUUUUCCCUCGUGAACUAAAGCAUGUGGUUUCAAAUGAAUUACUAUAAUUAUAAUUGUAAUUCAUCAUGCGUUGCUUGUAAUCGUUGUAAGGUUAUUUAAAUGUCAAGUUGAACUUCAUAUAUGAAAAUGACUAAUGUUAAUACAAA